rnacentral:rRNA from 1 species
CAAUAGCGUAUAUUAAAGUUGUUGCAGUUAAAAAGCUCGUAGUUGGACCUUGGACCUGGACAGGCGGUCCGCCUCACGGCGUGUACUGUCUUGCUGGGUCUUUCCUCUUGGUGAUCUGUUGUUUCGGCAGCAGGGAACCAGGACUUUUACUUUGAAAAAAUUAGAGUGUUCAAAGCAGGCUCGACGCCGGAAUAUAUUAGCAUGGAAUAAUAAAAUAGGACGUGCGGUUCUAUUUUGUUGGUUUUUGGAAUUGCCGUAAUGAUUAAUAGGGACAGUCGGGGGCAUUAGUACUCACAUGCUAGAGGUGAAAUUCUUGGAUUUUGUGAAGACUAACUUCUGCGAAAGCAUUUGCCAAGGAUGUUUUCAUUAA